CCUACGGGAGGCAGCAGUGAGGAAUAUUGGUCAAUGGGCGCGAGACUGAACCAGCCAAGUAGCGUGCAGGAUGACUGCCCUACGGGUUGUAAACUUCUUUUAUACAGGAAUAAAGUGCGGCACGUGUGCCUUUUUGUAUGUACCUUAUGAAUAAGGAUCGGCUAAUUCCGUGCCAGCAGCCGCGGUAAUACGGAGGAUCCGAGCGUUAUCCGGAUUUAUUGGGUUUAAAGGGAGCGUAGAUGGGUUGUUAAGUCAGGUGUGAAAGUUUGCGGCUCAACCGUGACAUUGCAAUGGAUACUGGCAGUCUUGAGUACAGGUGAGGUAGGCGGAAUUCGUGGUGUAGCGGUGAAAUGCUUAGAUAUCACGAAGAACUCCGAUUGCGAAGGCAGCUUACGAAACUGCCACUGACGUUGAUGCUCGAAGGUGUGGGUAUCGAACAGGAUUAGAUACCCUUGUAGUC
rnacentral:rRNA from 1 species